rnacentral:rRNA from 1 species
UACGGAGGGUGCAAGCGUUAAUCGGAAUUACUGGGCGUAAAGCGUGCGCAGGCGGUUUGUUAAGUCCGCUGUGAAAUCCCCGAGCUCAACUUGGGAAUUGCAGUGGAUACUGGCAAGCUGGAGUAUGGUAGAGGGAGGUGGAAUUUCCGGUGUAGCGGUGAAAUGCGUAGAUAUCGGUAAGAACAUCAGUGGCGAAGGCGGCCUCCUGGACCAAUACUGACACUGAGGAGCGAAAGCCAGGGGAGCAAACGGG